rnacentral:rRNA from 1 species
CCUACGGGUGGCAGCAGUGGGGAAUAUUGCACAAUGGGGGAAACCCUGAUGCAGCAACGCCGCGUGAGUGCAGAAGUAUUUCGGUAUGUAAAGCUCUAUCAGCAGGGAAGAAAAUGACGGUACCUGAGUAAGAAGCCCCGGCUAACUACGUGCCAGCAGCCGCGGUAAUACGUAGGGGGCAAGCGUUAUACGGAUUUACUGGGUGUAAAGGGAGCGUAGACGGCGAUACAAGUCUGAAGUGAAAGCCCAGGGCUCACCCCCGGGACUGCUUUGGAAACUGUGUUGCUGGAGUGCUGGAGAGGCACGCGGAAUUCCUAGUGUAGCGGUGAAAUGCGUAGAUAUUAGGAAGACCACUAGUGGCGAAGGCGGCUUGCUGGACAGUAACUGACGUUGAGGCUCGAAAGCGUGGGGAGCAAACAGGAUUAGAUACCCGAGUAGUC